ACUCCUACGGGAGGCAGCAGUGGGGAAUAUUGCACAAUGGGCGCAAGCCUGAUGCAGCCAUGCCGCGUGUAUGAAGAAGGCCUUCGGGUUGUAAAGUACUUUUCAGCAGUGAGGAAGGUGGAUAUGUUAAUAGCAUAUUCAUUUGACGUUAGCUGCAGAAGAAGCACCGGCUAACUCCGUGCCAGCAGCCGCGGUAAUACGGAGGGUGCGAGCGUUAAUCGGAAUUACUGGGCGUAAAGCGCAUGCAGGUGGUUUGUUAAGUCAGAUGUGAAAGCCCGGGGCUCAACCUCGGAAUUGCAUUUGAAACUGGCAAACUAGAGUACUGUAGAGGGGGGUAGAAUUUCAGGUGUAGCGGUGAAAUGCGUAGAGAUCUGAAGGAUACCGGUGGCGAAGGCGGCCCCCUGGACAGAUACUGACACUCAGAUGCGAAAGCGUGGGGAGCAAACAGGAUUAGAUACCCUGGUAGGCUCU
rnacentral:rRNA from 1 species